rnacentral:tRNA from 1 species
GCCGCCUUAGCUCAGCUAGCAGAGCAGCACUUUCGUAAAGUGAAGGUCCCCAGUGCAAAUCUGGGAGGCGGCUCAA